rnacentral:rRNA from 1 species
GACGAACGCUGGCGGCGUGCUUAACACAUGCAAGUCGAACGGAAAGGCCCUGCUUUUGUGGGGUGCUCGAGUGGCGAACGGGUGGGUAACACGUGAGUAACCUGCCCUUGACUUUGGGAUAACUUCAGGAAACUGGGGCUAAUACCGGAUAGGAGCUCCUGCUGCAUGGUGGGGGUUGGAAAGUUUCGGCGGUUGGGGAUGGACUCGCGGCUUAUCAGCUUGUUGGUGGGGUAGUGGCUUACCAAGGCUUUGACGGGUAGCCGGCCUGAGAGGGUGACCGGCCACAUUGGGACUGAGACACGGCCCAGACUCCUACGGGAGGCAGCAGUGGGGAAUAUUGCACAAUGGGCGGAAGCCUGAUGCAGCAACGCCGCGUGCGGGAUGACGGCCUUCGGGUUGUAAACCGCUUUCGCCUGUGACGAAGCGUGAGUGACGGUAAUGGGUAAAGAAGCACCGGCUAACUACGUG